AGGUGCUAGAAAGGGCUGGGGAUGGUGUUUUAUUCAUCAAGAAGCUAAAGGGAGACUUGAGGUGAUAUCUUUGCCACUGAUGAAAUUCAUUCCCUUAUCUAGAAGCUCUUAAAUCAUCCCUGGCAGAGGUGACGUUAUAAAAAUAAUUCUGAAGAAUAAAAGUUCUUGCCCUUGGAAUACGCUGCAUUGCACCAAAUGAUUAUUAAAAAAACCCACCACAGACUGUAGGAGCCAGCAAAGAAAGGAUGAAGGUGGCAUUAUGCAAUUCAGGUUUGUUCAGGGAACUUCUGCAUAGGAUGAAAGUGUUGCAUCAGUUUUGCCUGCCUCCUGGUUGCUAGUUUGUGGCCCUCAGUCCUACAGGUGGGUGAGGUCCCUGGAUACCAGGAUGGCUUUGGAAGGGGCGAGCAGGGAGGCUGCUCUGACGUGUAUGGGGGUAGGAGAAGGCUGUUCCAAAGACUUUAAAUCUCUACUGUAACCCCUCAACUACACACAUUUCAGCUUCACUUGGCUGCUUUUGUUAAAAAACUGCCACGGAUGUAGCAUUCAGCUGGACAUGACAUUUUAAAAAGCUUUCAGGUGGGGGGGGAAAGCAGUAUUGUAUUCAAAACUGCCACCAGGAGUUUUAUCUAUCAAGCCUGAAGUCUUAAUGGGGCUGAGGCCACGCUGCUCUGACCUAAAGGAGAUGUGUUCAUGCACUGGAGAAAAGCCACUGACCGCCUCCUAAGGAAGCAUGGGAAGCUGGACAUCCGAAAUGAGAAGUUUGUAGUCUUGCCGGCAGUAGGUCCAUGUUGGGAGUAGCCUGUGGAACAGUGCAUUGCACUUGUGAGUGAACUGGGAGCUUGCUGUGUCAUCACUAGAGCUGCUCUCAAAGAUACCAGUGACUUUAUUGGAGCCCCAUAUACACUGUGUGAAAGAUUUCUGUCCCAAAUGUGAUAAUGAGCUGAUAUUUCAUUAUUGUUUAAUUUUUCCAUGCACCAGUGUUACUGGUUGAAGUAAUCAAGCCAGAUAAUGAAACUGAGACCUGAGACCCUGGUGUGUGUCCCCGAACAGUGGCCAGAAAGAAGUCAUGGUGGCAAAAUUUCAUCUGAUUUCAGAGGGGGCUGGCUGUCAUCCAUAGCAAUAAACUAUCCCUGUCCCUAAUAGCACUAAUAGACAAACUAUUUUUAGCUUAACUUUUCAUGCUUUACCUAUCACUUUAUUAUCAAACAUCUUUCAUACUGCAAGCAAUUCUACAAUGUAUAUAGAGGUAGUAAAACAAGCAGUGAUUCUGUAACUCCUAAAAUUCACUUAGAAUGAUGACAUAUAAUUCUAAGUUUUAUUUUGUGUGACUUCC